rnacentral:miRNA from 1 species
UAUAAGAAUGCAUGAUCACCU